UGCUAAGUAAUCAUAGAAUGGCAAGGCGCUUGACUACGAUAUCAGUGUAAUCAAGAGAUUCCAGGUUCGACCCCUGGCAUGGUCA